GAUGAACGCUGGCGGCGUGCCUAAUACAUGCAAGUCGAGCGAACAGACGAGGAGCUUGCUCCUCUGACGUUAGCGGCGGACGGGUGAGUAACACGUGGAUAACCUACCUAUAAGACUGGGAUAACUUCGGGAAACCGGAGCUAAUACCGGAUAAUAUAUUGAACCGCAUGGUUCAAUAGUGAAAGACGGUUUUGCUGUCACUUAUAGAUGGAUCCGCGCCGCAUUAGCUAGUUGGUAAGGUAACGGCUUACCAAGGCAACGAUGCGUAGCCGACCUGAGAGGGUGAUCGGGCACACUGGAACUGAGAAACGGUCCAGACUCCUACGGGAGGCAGCAGUAGGGAAUCUUCCGCGAUGGGCGAAAGCCUGACGGAGCAACGCCGCGUGAGUGAUGAAGGUCUUCGGAUCGUAAAACUCUGUUAUUAGGGAAGAACAAAUGUGUAAGUAACUAUGCACGUCUUGACGGUACCUAAUCAGAAAGCCACGGCUAACUACGUG
rnacentral:rRNA from 1 species